UACGAAGGGGGCUAGCGUUGCUCGGAAUCACUGGGCGGAAAGGGCGCGUAGGCGGAUCUUUAAGUCGGGGGUGAAAGCCCAGGGCUCAACCCUGGAAUUGCCUUCGAUACUGAAGAUCUCGAGACCGGAAGAGGUUAGUGGAACUGCGAGUGUAGAGGUGAAAUUCGUAGAUAUUCGCAAGAACACCAGUGGCGAAGGCGACUUACUGGACAACUGUUGACGCUGAGGUGCGAAAGCGUGGGGAGCAAACAGG
rnacentral:rRNA from 1 species